GCCUCGGUAGCCUAGUGGUAGAGCGACCGCUUUGAGUGCGGGAGGUCGUGGGUUCGAUCCCCGGCCGCGGCA
rnacentral:tRNA from 1 species